GUCGGCCUCCUGCAGUCGAAUCCAGUCACCAUCUGUUGGUCGCCGGCGGUGUGGGGCGAAGUCGGCCUCCUGUUGUCGUCUUCAGUAACCAUCUCGACAAGGAACCGAGAGUCGUCGGGUCAUCACCCCCCUCUCCCCCACGAAUGUCAAGGAAACGUGAUUAAUGGCGCCGGAAUUUUAGUAGAUGGGGAUUUGUAAAAAUAUAUGGAAGGGUUAUUUUGGCAGGGCUAGGGGGAAAUUUGGGUAGGGCAAGCAGGAAAAUUUUGGCUGGGGAGGAGGAGAAGGUGUUUAGGUAUAUAUCGACACGUUAUGUUUCAUGCGUGUUUAAUUGGAACAUUUGAGCAAUGUGUUCAAUAUUGAAAUCACUAUGCACAUUGCUUCAUCUGUACAUGUAUAUAUUCACGUGGUGAUCUACAUGGUGAUAGUGUGGCACACAAUGAGCAUAUAUUACUAAAGAUAGUGUCGCACACAAUAAGCUCCCCUUUGGCAUGGCUCAAAUUAAAUAAAACGGCUUCACCGGUGAAGCCAAUGCCUGUGAAGCCAAUAAACAUAAUACAUAUCCCUUAGUGAGAGAGAAAGCAUUAGGAUUGCAUUGGAAAGUAUAUCGAUUAGCGUGGAAUAGAAAUGAACAAUCUAAUGAAAUUAAGUUGACACCAUAAAGUUGAGAUACUUGACUCUCCAAUAUUCUUGGAAUGACUUACAAUUAGGUACUUUGAAA
rnacentral:lncRNA from 1 species